GACGAACGCUGGCGGCGUGCCUAAUACAUGCAAGUAGAACGCACAGUUUAUACCGUAGCUUGCUCCACCAUAGACUGUGAGUUGCGAACGGGUGAGUAACGCGUAGGUAACCUGCCUGGUAGCGGGGGAUAACUAUUGGAAACGAUAGCUAAUACCGCAUAAUAUUAAUUAUUGCAUGAUAAUUAAUUGAAAGGUGCAAUUGCACCACUACCAGAUGGACCUGCGUUGUAUUAGCUAGUAGGUGAGGUAACGGCUCACCUAGGCGACGAUACAUAGCCGACCUGAGAGGGUGAUCGGCCACACUGGGACUGAGACACGGCCCAGACUCCUACGGGAGGCAGCAGUAGGGAAUCUUCGGCAAUGGACGAAAGUCUGACCGAGCAACGCCGCGUGAGUGAAGAAGGGUGUCGGAUCGUAAAGCUCUGUUGUAAGAGAAGAACGGGUGUGAGAGUGGAAAGUUCACACUGUGACGGUAUCUUACCAGAAAGGGACGGCUAACUACGUG
rnacentral:rRNA from 1 species